GUAGGUGGCGAGCGUUAUCCGGAAUCAUUGGGCGUAAAGAGGGAGCAGGCGGCAGUGCAGGUCUGCGGUGAAAGCCCGAAGCUAAACUUCGGUAAGCCGUGGAAACCGCACAGCUAGAGAGCAUCAGAGGAUCGCGGAAUUCCAUGUGUAGCGGUGAAAUGCGUAGAUAUAUGGAGGAACACCAGUGGCGAAGGCGGCGGUCUGGGGUGCAGCUGACGCUCAGUCCCGAAAGCGUGGGGAGCAAAUAGGAUUAGAUACCCUAGUAGUCCACGCCGUAAACGAUGAGUGCUAAGUGUUGGGGGUCAGACCUCAGUGCUGCAGUUAACGCAAUAAGCACUCCGCCUGAGUAGUACGUUCGCAAGAAUG
rnacentral:rRNA from 1 species